AUUCUUUCGCUGUGCCCAAUUAGCUGCUGCCGCGCCUUGGAGUCCGGAGUAACUUGGCCAGGCUGGCCCCGAGCGGAACUGGAGAAAGCUGAGGCUCUAACCAUGGAAUACUGGGAAUGUCCCUUUCUGUGAAGGAGGUUUGUCAGCCACAACAGGAAUAUUCAUGAACAUGAAGGGGUUGGGCAUGUUCCAGGAUCUGUCUAUCGACUUCUCUCAGGAGGAAUGGGAGGGCCUGGACACUGCUCAGAAGGACUUAUAGAGAGAUGUAAUGAUGGAGAACUAUAGCAGCCUGGUCUCACUAGGUAAGGAUGUCUAUCCCCAAAUAACUCAUGAGUUUUGGCUGUAGCUUUCACUUGUCUGGGUGACUUUUCACCUGCUGCCUAGGGAAUUGUUUUGUGUUUAGUAGAUUAAUAGAUGGGCAGCUCUUUGGGGUCCUUCCAUCUUCUCCAUGCUUCAGAC
rnacentral:lncRNA from 1 species